UACGUAGGGUGCGAGCGUUGUCCGGAAUUAUUGGGCGUAAAGGGCUCGUAGGCGGUUUGUCGCGUCGGGAGUGAAAACACGGGGCUUAACCCCGUGCCUGCUUCCGAUACGGGCGGACUAGAGGUAUGCAGGGGAGAACGGAAUUCCUGGUGUAGCGGUGAAAUGCGCAGAUAUCAGGAGGAACACCGGUGGCGAAGGCGGUUCUCUGGGCAUUACCUGACGCUGAGGAGCGAAAGUGUGGGGAGCGAACAGG
rnacentral:rRNA from 1 species